GCUGAAGCGGGGGUAAGACCCCGUGGAGGGCCGAACGCACGUCGGUUGAAAACGGCGGCGAUGACCUGCGGAUAGGGGUGAAAGGCCAAUCAAACCCGGAGAUAUCUCGUUCUCCCCGAAAUAGCUUUAGGGCUAGCGUCGCGCGUUCACCGCCGGAGGUAGAGCACCGGAUGGACGAGGGGGCUUCGCCGCCUACCGAAUCCAACCGAACUCCGAAUGCCGGCGGCCCAGAGCGCGGCAGUCAGAGCAUGUGGGCUAAGCUGUGUGCUCGAGAGGGAAACAGCCCGGACCGCCCGCUAAGGUCCCCAAGUUCCAGCCGAGUGGCAAAGGAUGUGCGUCCGCCCAGACAACCAGGAUGUUGGCUUAGAAGCAGCCAUACAUUCAAAGAGUGCGUAACAGCUCACUGGUCGAGUGGACAUGCGCCGACAAUACACGGGGCUAAGCUGGACACCGAAGCGGCGGGAUUUUAAUUCAUUAGAAUCGGUAGGGGAGCUUCCCAUGGGCGGAGAAGCCGGAGGGCGACCGACGGUGGAGCGCAUGGGAGUGAGAAUGCUGGCAUGAGUAGCGAGAGACGAGAGAGUACCUCGUCCGCCGUGAACCCGAGGUUUCCUGGGCAAGGCUAAUCCUCCCAGGGUCAGUCGGGGGCUAAGGCGAGGCCGGGAGGCGUAGCCGACGCGCAGCAGGCAGACAUUCCUGCACCGCGCACGCGGCGCUACGACCGACGGGGCGACGGAUGGGGGUGGCUCGGCGGGGUUCUGGACGUCCCCGUGAUGGAGCGCGGCCCGCGGACCAGGGAAAUCCGGUCCGCAUUGAGGGCGAGGCUCCGGACGAAGCGAUUGAGCGAAGCGAGUGAGCCCGAGGUCCCUAGAAAAACCCCUAGGCAGGCGCGUGCGCGCCCGUACCGCAAACCGACACAGGUGGGUGGGUAGAACAUACCGAGGCGAUCGGGUCAACCAUGGUCAAGGAACUCGGCACAAUGGCCCCGUAACUUCGGGAGAAGGGGUGCCCGCGCGUACGUGAACCGGCUCGCCCCGGGAGCGGAGGCGGGCCGCAGUGGAGAGGCCCAAGCGACUGUUUACCAAAAACACAGGACUCUGCAGAAGCCGCAAGGCGACGUAUAGGGUCUGACGCCUGCCCGGUGCCGGAAGGUCACGCGGAGGAGUUAGCGCAUCGCGCGAAGCCCCGAAGCCAAGCCCCGGUAAACGGCGGCCGUAACUAUAACGGUCCUAAGGUAGCGAAAUUCCUUGUCGGGUAAGUUCCGACCUGCACGAAAGGCGCAACGACUUGGGCGCUGUCUCGACCAUGGACCCGGUGAAAUUGCACUGGUCGUGAAGAUGCGACUUACCCGCGGAAGGACGGAAAGACCCCGUGAACCUUCACUGCAGCUUGGCAUUGGCCGCUGGUCCCGCGUGUAGAGGAUAGGCAGGAGGCACAGAUCCGGAGGCGCCAGCCCCCGGGGAGCCGCCCUUGGAAUACUGCCCUCGCGCGACCGGCGUCCUAACCCGAGGCCGUCAACCGGCUCGGGGACCGUGCCAGGCGGGCAGUUUGACUGGGGCGGUCGCCUCCUAAAGGGUAACGGAGGCGCGCGAAGGUCCGCUCGGGACGGUCGGCAACCGUCCUUUUGAAUGCAAGAGUACAAGCGGGCUUGACUGCGAGGCCCACAAGCCGAGCAGGUGCGAAAGCAGGCUCUAGUGAUCCGGCGGCCCCGAGUGGGUGGGCCGUC
rnacentral:rRNA from 1 species